UAAUACGUAGGGUGCGAGCGUUAAUCGGAAUUACUGGGCGUAAAGCGUGCGCAGGCGGUUUUGUAAGCCAGAUGUGAAAGCCCCGGGCUUAACCUGGGAAUGGCAUUUGGGACUGCAAGGCUUGAGUGCGGCAGAGGAGACUGGAAUUCCUGGUGUAGCAGUGAAAUGCGUAGAUAUCAGGAGGAAUACCGAUGGCGAAGGCAGGUCUCUGGGCUGACACUGACGCUCAUGCACGAAAGCGUGGGGAGCAAACAGGAUUAGAUACCCUGGUAGUCCACGCCCUAAACGAUGUCGACUGGUUGUUGGGGGUUUGACACUCUCAGUAACGAAGCUAACGCGUGAAGUUGACCGCCUGGGGAGUACGGCCGCAAGGUUG
rnacentral:rRNA from 1 species